UACGUAGGGUGCGAGCGUUGUCCGGAAUUAUUGGGCGUAAAGAGCUUGUAGGCGGUUUGUCGCGUCUGCCGUGAAAAUUCGGGGCUCAACCUCGAACUUGCGGUGGGUACGGGCAGACUAGAGUGUGGUAGGGGAGACUGGAAUUCCUGGUGUAGCGGUGAAAUGCGCAGAUAUCAGGAGGAACACCGAUGGCGAAGGCAGGUCUCUGGGCCACUACUGACGCUGAGAAGCGAAAGCAUGGGGAGCGAACAGG
rnacentral:rRNA from 1 species